CCUCUUCUUUUCAGAUCAGAAGGGGUCAGAUAAACUGGAGACAUCAGUUGGUCCUCCCAAUUCUGCUCUGAAAUACUGACGUGCAAUUUAAGAGCAUGAUUAGACCUUCAACCCAACUACCUGAAUAUCGACCUUGAAAAUUGUAUUAGCCUGAAGAUGCAGCAAAUAGCACCAGCAUUAAGCUAUCAGGCUAUUGAAAGAAUGGACCAGAAGAAAUUAGAAUUUCUCAUGGAACACUGCUGGAAGAGGAAGCAUCUGGGUAUCCAGAGGAGGAACUUGUGCCCAGGAGAAAGUUGCAACUUCUCAGUCCUCAGAAACAAGGCUUGAGUACAGAGCUAACGUUAUCACCAAAUCGCUAGAAGGAAGUCUUCUGAUGACUAGCCACGGUGGAAUGGAGCCAGUUGGUACUCCAAUCAUCAUUGCUACUUCUGGAUAGAUCUAAGGCCAGAAACUUUGUACAACAGGUAAAGAACUUAAAUUCUCCCUCUUCUUAAAUAAAAUAUG